CUAGAAGUACACGAGCAACGGAAGUUAAAAAAUCGGGCAAGAUUGAACGCAAAGGCAAGCGGGACAUUUGAGGAUGGGGUGACUGCGUACCUUUUGUAUAAUGGGUCAGCGACUUAUAUUCUGUAGCGAGGUUAACCGUAUAGGGGAGCCGUAGGGAAACCGAGUCUUAACUGGGCGAAUGAGUUGCAGGGUAUAGACCC
rnacentral:rRNA from 1 species